rnacentral:rRNA from 1 species
UACGAAGGGAGCUAGCGUUGUUCGGAAUCACUGGGCGUAAAGGGCGCGUAGGCGGUUGGAUAAGUCAGCUGUGAAAACCACGGGCUUAACUCGUGGCCUGCAGUUGAGACUGUCUGGCUUGAGUGUGGGAGAGGAGAGUGGAAUUCCUGGUGUAGCGGUGAAAUGCGUAGAUAUCAGGAGGAACACUGCGGUGUAGACAGCUUACUGGACCACUUCUGACGCUGAGACACGAAAGCGUGGGUAGCAAACAGG